ACUCAUUAAUUGAGCUCUGGUCUCCCAGUGUAAUUUCUAGUCCUAGCAUAAGAGAAAUGAGAAGGCGCCUAGGUGAUGAAUUUCCAUUUCUUUUACAGGAAAACACUGAAGUGAAAGUUUCCUAAGUGUAGACAUGAACUUUAACUGCAGAAAUAGCUGAUGCAGAUUGCUAGACAAUCUCUUAAUUACCAUAGAUGUACCUGAUAGUGUAGCCCACCAUACACUUAUGCUACAUGGUAUCAGUACUCCACUAGUCUGUGGAAUGUCGCUUCAUUGUAUAUUUUAGGCAUGGUACCAACAAAUAUGUAUCAAAAAAACAUUUGGCAUGAAAGUAAAUGCUGUAUCUAUGAAGAGUACUUAUUGUGAGUGGAGUUUUGAGGACUGGAUUUUAUUCAAUCAGAGACUUAGGUGAAUAUAAACUCCUAGGACACAUUAAUCUACUGUAAAGUUUCAAUACUAUAGACUUAGUUUAUUGUAUAUUGAUGUUUUCCUAAAUAUUAAACUAACUUAAAGCUUUAUACAGUGUGUAUAAUUUUAAUACUUUUGAUUUUUGUGAGAACAGUGCUUAAAAUGUAGCCAUUUUAUGAUUGUUUAAAACUAUUUCUUUGUAUGCAUAUUCUAUAUAUAUUUUUGCAUUAUAAAUACGUUUUUAAAAACAUUGUGAAAACCAGCUGUCACUUAGAACAGAGGCAGGAGGGUUGGUAUAGCUUUCAGAUCUAUAUGCACUGAUUCUCAUGUGCUCCCACAUCACUCCCCUACGUUGUAUCGUAUGAUUAACUGCACCUUCCUUUGUUCUGAUCAUAUGACAUUGGCAUUGCAUGUGAUGUCAUCCCAUGCAAUGCCUACUAACAGCUCCUUGAAGCACCUCAGCUCACACACAAGACUUGCUGAAUGUUGCAAACGGAAGUACUUUUACUAAAUAACCAGACUUUUCGGCUCUUAUGGAAAUAAUGAUUUCGUUGUGGGAAACAGACCGUCCUGUUUUUCCAGUGUCAUUCAUCAGCAUGUAAGUACUAGAUUAACUUAUCUUUCCAUUAUACUGUAGAGUUUACCUUUAAAAGUUGCCUGAGUUACUGACUUGUAUUUUAUUGAAAAAGAAUCAUUCAAUAAUUAUUGGGUUUCAAUAAUGAAAAAUAUUUUUAACAACUUAUGAAAUGGUCCUAUCUGUAUUUCUGCCUAGUAUUUUAUGUGAUGUUCUUUAUAUUUUCCAAGUAUAAAGCCAAAGUAUCAACUCUGAAAAACAUUGAUUCCCUGUUCACUGCAUUAUCAAAUACUCAGCCAAGAUUUACUCUUUUAUGUAAAAAUAAGUAUGCCUAUUUUAUUAAUGUACAAGCUUAACUUUCAUAAUAAAUGAUAAAAUUAUCUAG
rnacentral:lncRNA from 1 species